AUUGAACGCUGGCGGCAGGCUUAACACAUGCAAGUCGAGCGAGCGGCGGACGGGUGAGUAAUGUCUGGGAAACUGCCUGAUGGAGGGGGAUAACUACUGGAAACGGUAGCUAAUACCGCAUACCAUCGGAUGUGCCCAGAUGGGAUUAGCUAGUAGGUGGGGUAAAGGCUCACCUAGGCGACGAUCCCUAGCUGGUCUGAGAGGGUGACCGGCCACACUGGAACUGAGACACGGCCCAGACUCCGACGGGAGGCAGCAGUAGGGAAUAUUGGACAAUGGGCGCAAGCCUGACGCAGCCAUGCCGCGGGAGUGAAGAAGGCGUUCGGGUUGUAAAGCACUUUCGGCGGGGAGGCGUUACUCACAGAAGAAGCACCGGCUAACUCCGUGCCAGCAGCCGCGGUAAUUC
rnacentral:rRNA from 1 species